CACUCCUGCGGGAGGCAGCAGUGGGGAAUUUUGGACAAUGGGCGAAAGCCUGAUCCAGCCAUGCCGCGUGCAGGAUGAAGGCCUUCGGGUUGUAAACUGCUUUUGUACGGAACGAAACGGCCUUUUCUAAUAAAGAGGGCUAAUGACGGUACCGUAAGAAUAAGCACCGGCUAACUACGUGCCAGCAGCCGCGGUAAUACGUAGGGUGCAAGCGUUAACCGGAAUUACUGGGCGUAAAGCGUGCGCAGGCGGUUAUGUAAGACAGUUGUGAAAUCCCCGGGCUCAACCUGGGAACUGCAUCUGUGACUGCAUAGCUAGAGUACGGUAGAGGGGGAUGGAAUUCCGCGUGUAGCAGUGAAAUGCGUAGAUAUGCGGAGGAACACCGAUGGCGAAGGCAAUCCCCUGGACCUGUACUGACGCUCAUGCACGAAAGCGUGGGGAGCAAACAGGAUUAGAUACCCUUGUAGUCCCAUG
rnacentral:rRNA from 1 species